AUAGUCCCGGGUGCCGUAGCUAACGCGAUAAGCAUCCCGCCUGGGGAGUACGGUCGCAAGACUGAAACUCAAAGGAAUUGACGGGGACCCGCACAAGCGGUGGAGCAUGUGGUUCAAUUCGACGCAACGCGAAGAACCUUACCUGGGCUAGAAUGCCUCUGACACCCGUAGAGAUACGGUCUCUUAGGGAAACCUAAGCAGAGUGCAAGGUGCUGCAUGGCUGUCGUCAGCUCGUGUCGUGAAAUGUUGGGUUAAGUCCCGCAACGAGCGCAACCCUUAUCAAUAGUUGCUAGCGGUUCGGCCGAGCACUCUAUUGAGACUGCCGUUGACAAAACGGAGGAAGUGGGGAUGACGUCAAGUCCUCAUGGCCUUUAUGUCCAGGGCUACACACGUUCUACAAUGGCCGGUACAAAGCGCUGCAAACUCCCCAAGAGGAGCCAAUCGCCAAAAGCCGGUCUCAGUUCGGAUUGGAGUCUGCAACUCNACUCAUGAAGCUNGGAAUCGCUA
rnacentral:rRNA from 1 species